AAACAUAACCUUUAGCCAAACAAAUAUUAAAGGCAACGCCUGCCCAGUGAACAAUUAAACGGCCGCGGUACCCUAACCGUGCAAAGGUAGCAUAAUCAUUUGUCUACUAAUUAUAGACCUGUAUGAAAGGCAAAAUGAGGGUUCAACUGUCUCUUAUAAUAAAUCAAUUAAACUGAUCUCCUAGUAAAAAAGCUAGAAUAACAACAUAAGACCAGAAGACCCUGUGAAGCUUAAAUUAAACUAUUAAACCAUAUAAUAACUACUUUCGGUUGGGGCGACCUUGGAAAAAAAAAGAACUUCCAAAUAACAUGACUCUACCUCAUACUAAAAACUAGGCCAACAAGCCAACAAACGACCCAGCAUAGCUGAUAAUUGAACCAAGUUACUCCAGGGAUAACAGCGCAAUCUUCUUCAAGAGCCCAUAUCAAAAAGAAGGUUUACGACCUCGAUGUUGGAUCAGGACAUCCUAAUGGUGCAGCCGCUAUWAAGGGUUCGUUUGUUCAACGAUUAACAGUCCUACGUGAUCUGA
rnacentral:rRNA from 1 species